AUGGACCAAUCCAUCCAUUUUUCCCGUGCAUAUGCAUCGGACUCGGAUGACGAUGGUCCCGAUGAAGAAGUUGAUGAGGAGGGGUUCACACCGAAGGAGGCCCAAGCAUUCAAGAAGGUAUUCGGGCGGGAUCACAAGACACCAUUGUUCAAGGAUCUUAGUCUCGCGGAUGAAGCCGUUGUGGAUGGUAGCAAAUGCAUAUCUCUUGGAGCUAGGCCAAGUUCU
rnacentral:rRNA from 1 species